UCAGAACGAACGUUGGCGGCGUGCCUAAUACAUGCAAGUCGAGCGAGAAACGGGUAGCAAUACCCGGAGUACAGCGGCGAAAGGGUGCGUAUGACAUGAAGAACGUACCCCUCCGUUCGGAACAACCCCGCGAAAGCGGGGCUAAUACCGGAUACGGCCGCGGCGAUGCCUGUCGCUGCGGUGAAGGUCGCAAGACGCGGAUGGAGCGCUUCAUGGCCUAUCAGCUAGUUGGCGGGGUAACGGCCCACCAAGGCGAUGACGGGUAGCCGGACUGAGAGGUCGACCGGCCACACGGGGACUGAGACACGGCCCCGACAUCUACGGAUGGCAGCAGUAGGGAAUAUUGCGCAAUGGGCGAAAGCCUGACGCAGCGACGCCGCGUGGGGGAUGAAGGCCUUCGGGUUGUAAACCCCUUUCAUGUGGGACGAAUUCUGACUUAACCACAGGAAGAAGCACCGGCUAACUCCGUGCCAGCAGCUGCGGUAAGACGGAGAGUGCAAACGUUGUUCGGAUUUACUGGGCGUAGAGGGCACGUAGGCGGCCAGGCAAAUCAGUUGUGGAAUCCCGACGCCUACCGUCGGAACGGCAAUUGAAAAUACCUGGCUCGAGGGCAUGAGGGGUCGCGGGAACUCCUGGUGGAGCGGUGAAAUGCGUAGAUAUCAGGAGGAACGCCGGAGGCGAAAGCGCGCGACUGGCAUGUCCCUGACGCUGAGGUGCGAAAGCCGGGGGAGCAAACAGGAUUAGAUACCCUGGUAGUCCCGGCUGUAAACGAUGGACACUGAAUGGAGGUGGGUUCACCU
rnacentral:rRNA from 1 species